rnacentral:lncRNA from 1 species
UCCCCAAAGAUUCACUUGACCCAGGACCAAACUCCAUUAAGCCCCUCAGACACUUGCUGCCAGCCAGGGAAUGAUUUAGAACCCAUGGCCAUAUUCUGUUCCUCUGGUUAAAGCAAUGCCUGGCUAAGAGGGCUGACAUCAUCCCCACAUACAGAAAGGAGGGAAGACGUGGGAGCAGAGAGGAAGAGGACCUUGAGGGGGAAGCAUGAAUGGAGACUCCCAAAGCAAUAGUGGGGAACCCAGCCAUGCAUGUAGUCUUCAUGCUCCCUAAUGGACUGAGACAAAAACAUAUCCUGAGCUUGUCACUGAUGCUACAUGCUUACAACUGUAACGGAGAGCCUGCAGCAGAGAUGUGGAUUUACAGAAACCAGAGCCGCUCAGUUGGCAGAAGGCUACGAGGAAAUGCAUUGCUUACACAUGAAGUAAGAGCUUAUUUACCUUUCUGUUCCUUAUCCAAAACCUAAAUUUUUAAAAACUAAAAACCA